UGGCUGUAGCCAAAUCAAGAAAUUCGGUUAGGGAAGCUAACUGGCCGGUUGUUGUUAGAUCCAAUUUUUGGAUCUCCAUCGACACAUCUGCUUACCGAGCUUCCCACAUUC